rnacentral:tRNA from 1 species
GGGUUCAAGNCCCUCUAUCCCCA